rnacentral:rRNA from 1 species
GAAUAUGAGAGUUUGAUUCUGGCUCAGAGUGAACGCUGGCGGCGUGCCUAAGACAUGCAAGUCGAACGCGAAAGCAUCUUCGGGUGUGAGUAGAGUGGCGCACGGGUGAGUAACACUUGGGUAACCUACCCUUCAGAGGGGGACAACUUCGGGAAACCGAAGCUAAUACCGCGUACGCUGCAAUUUUCCACGGGAAAUUGCGGGAAAGCUUUUGCGCUGAAGGAUGGGCCCGAGCCCGAUUAGUUUGUUGGUGGGGUAACGGCCUACCAAGACUACGAUUGGUAGCUGGUUUGAGAGGAUGAUCAGCCACACUGGUACUGGAACACGGACCAGACUCCUACGGGAGGCAGCAGUUAGGAAUUUUGCGCAAUGGGGGAAACCCUGACGCAGCAACGCCGCGUGAGUGAUGAAGGCCCUAGGGUUGUAAAGCUCUUUCGACAGGGAAGAAAAAAAUGACGGUACCUGUAGAAGAAGCACCGGCUAACUCCGUGCCAGCAGCCGCGGUAAGACGGAGGGUGCAAGCGUUGCUCGGAUUUACUGGGCGUAAAGAGCACGUAGGCGGCUAGGUAAGUCUGAUGUGAAAGCCCACGACUCAAUCGUGGAAGUGCAUUGGAUACUGCUUAGCUAGAAUGCAGGAGAGGUGAGCGGAAUUCCAGGUGUAGAGGUGAAAUUCGUAGAUAUCUGGAGGAACAACGGAGGCGAAGGCGGCUCACUGGACUGAUAUUGACGCUGAGGUGCGAAAGUGUGGGGAGCAAACGGGAUUAGAUACCCCGGUAGUCCACACCGUAAACGAUGAGUACUAGUUGUCGGAACCAUCCUACUGUUUCGGUGACGAAGCUAACGCAUUAAGUACUCCGCCUGGGGAUUACGGCCGCAAGGCUAAAACUCAAAGAAAUUGACGGGGGCCCGCACAAGCGGUGGAGGAUGUGGUUUAAUUCGAUGCAACGCGAAAAACCUUACCUAGGCUUGACAUCCCGCGCUACCCUGUGAAAGCAGGGGUUCUCUUCGGAGACGCGGUGACAGGUGCUGCAUGGCUGUCGUCAGCUCGUGUCGUGAGAUGUUGGGUUAAGUCCCGCAACGAGCGCAACCCUCGCCAUUAGUUGCCAGCAUUAAGUUGGGCACUCUAAUGGGACCGCUUGCCGAUAAGGCAGAGGAAGGUGGGGAUGACGUCAAGUCCGCAUGGCCCUUACGCCUAGGGCCACACACGUCCUACAAUGGCUAGUACAAAGUGUCGCUAUCCUGUGAAGGAAUGCUAAUCACAAAAAGCUAGUCUCAGUUCGGAUUGGAGUCUGCAACUCGACUCCAUGAAGUUGGAAUCGCUAGUAAUCGCGGAUCAGCAUGCCGCGGUGAAUACGUUCCCGGGCCUUGUACACACCGCCCGUCACGCCAUGGGAGUUGGGGCUGCCUGAAGUGGCUGAGCUAACCCGCAAGGGAGGCAGGUUACUAUGGCAGUACCGAUAACUGGGGUGAAGUCGUAACAAGGUAGCCGUACCGGAAGGUGCGGCUGGAUCACCUCCUUU